rnacentral:rRNA from 1 species
UGACUGCGUACCUUUUGUAUAAUGGGUCAGCGACUUAUAUUCUGUAGCAAGGUUAACCGAAUAGGGGAGCCGGAGGGAAACCGAGUCUUAACCGGGCGUUAAGUUGCAGGGUAUAGACCCGAAACCCGGUGAUCUAGCCAUGGGCAGGUUGAAGGUUGGGUAACACUAACUGGAGGACCGAACCGACUAAUGUUGAAAAAUUAGCGGAUGACCUGUGGCUGGGGGUGAAAGGCCAAUCAAACCGGGAGAUAGCUGGUUCUCCCCGAAAGCUAUUUAGGUAGCGCCUCGUGAAUUCAUCUCCGGGGGUAGAGCACUGUUUCGGCUAGGGGGCCAUCCCGGCUUACCAACCCGAUGCAAACUGCGAAUACCGGAGAAUGUUAUCACGGGAGACACACGGCGGGUGCUAACGUCCGUCGUGAAGAGGGAAACAACCCAGACCGCCAGCUAAGGUCCCAAAGUCAUGGUUAAGUGGGAAACGAUGUGGGAAGGCCCAGACAGCCAGGAUGUUGGCUUAGAAGCAGCCAUCAUUUAAAGAAAGCGUAAUAGCUCACUGGUCGAGUCGGCCUGCGCGGAAGAUGUAACGGGGCUAAACCAUGCACCGAAGCUGCGGCAGCGACGCUGAUGCGUUGUUGGGUAGGGGAGCGUUCUGUAAGCCUGCGAAGGUGGCCUGUGAGGGUUGCUGGAGGUAUCAGAAGUGCGAAUGCUGACAUAAGUAACGAUAAAGCGGGUGAAAAGCCCGCUCGCCGGAAGACCAAGGGUUCCUGUCCAACGUUAAUCGGGGCAGGGUGAGUCGACCCCUAAGGCGAGGCCGAAAGGCGUAGUCGAUGGGAAACGGGUUAAUAUUCCCGUACUUGGUGUUACUGCGAAGGGGGGACGGAGAAGGCUAUGUUGGCCGGGCGACGGUUGUCCCGGUUUAAGCGUGUAGGUGUGUGUUCCAGGUAAAUCCGGUUCACUUUAACACUGAGGCGUGACGACGAGGCACUACGGUGCUGAAGCAACAAAUGCCCUGCUUCCAGGAAAAGCCUCUAAGCAUCAGGUAACAUCAAAUCGUACCCCAAACCGACACAGGUGGUCAGGUAGAGAAUACCAAGGCGCUUGAGAGAACUCGGGUGAAGGAACUAGGCAAAAUGGUGCCGUAACUUCGGGAGAAGGCACGCUGACAUGUAGGUGAAGUGAUUUACUCAUGGAGCUGAAGUCAGUCGAAGAUACCAGCUGGCUGCAACUGUUUAUUAAAAACACAGCACUGUGCAAACACGAAAGUGGACGUAUACGGUGUGACGCCUGCCCGGUGCCGGAAGGUUAAUUGAUGGGGUCAGCGCAAGCGAAGCUCCUGAUCGAAGCCCCGGUAAACGGCGGCCGUAACUAUAACGGUCCUAAGGUAGCGAAAUUCCUUGUCGGGUAAGUUCCGACCUGCACGAAUGGCGUAAUGAUGGCCAGGCUGUCUCCACCCGAGACUCAGUGAAAUUGAACUCGCUGUGAAGAUGCAGUGUACCCGCGGCAAGACGGAAAGACCCCGUGAACCUUUACUAUAGCUUGACACUGAACAUUGAGCCUUGAUGUGUAGGAUAGGUGGGAGGCUUUGAAGUGUGGACGCCAGUCUGCAUGGAGCCGACCUUGAAAUACCACCCUUUAAUGUUUGAUGUUCUAACGUGGACCCGUGAUCCGGGUUGCGGACAGUGUCUGGUGGGUAGUUUGACUGGGGCGGUCUCCUCCUAAAGAGUAACGGAGGAGCACGAAGGUUGGCUAAUCCUGGUCGGACAUCAGGAGGUUAGUGCAAUGGCAUAAGCCAGCUUGACUGCGAGCGUGACGGCGCGAGCAGGUGCGAAAGCAGGUCAUAGUGAUCCGGUGGUUCUGAAUGGAAGGGCCAUCGCUCAACGGAUAAAAGGUACUCCGGGGAUAACAGGCUGAUACCGCCCAAGAGUUCAUAUCGACGGCGGUGUUUGGCACCUCGAUGUCGGCUCAUCACAUCCUGGGGCUGAAGUAGGUCCCAAGGGUAUGGCUGUUCGCCAUUUAAAGUGGUACGCGAGCUGGGUUUAGAACGUCGUGAGACAGUUCGGUCCCUAUCUGCCGUGGGCGCUGGAGAACUGAGGGGGGCUGCUCCUAGUACGAGAGGACCGGAGUGGACGCAUCACUGGUGUUCGGGUUGUCAUGCCAAUGGCACUGCCCGGUAGCUAAAUGCGGAAGAGAUAAGUGCUGAAAGCAUCUAAGCACGAAACUUGCCCCGAGAUGAGUUCU